UACGUAGGUGACAAGCGUUGUCCGGAUUUACUGGCGUAAAGAGCGCGCAGGCGGUCGUUCAAGUCGCGUGUGAAAGCCCCCGGCUCAACUGGGGAGGGUCACGCGAUACUGAUCGACUCGAAGGCAGGAGAGGGAAGUGGAAUUCCCGGUGUAGUGGUGAAAUGCGUAGAUAUCGGGAGGAACACCAGUGGCGAAGGCGACUUCCUGGCCUGUUCUUGACGCUGAGGCGCGAAAGCUAGGGGAGCAAACGGG
rnacentral:rRNA from 1 species